AUCAUUGCGAUGGAGAUACACCUGUUCCCAUGUCGAACACAGAAGUUAAGUCCAUCUACGGCGGAAGUACUUGGGGGUUGCCCCUGGGAGAUAGG
rnacentral:rRNA from 1 species